rnacentral:piRNA from 1 species
UNGACAUGAGGAGCUUCCAUGUGUCCAGC